rnacentral:rRNA from 1 species
UACGAAGGGGGCUAGCGUUGUUCGGAAUUACUGGGCGUAAAGCGCGCGUAGGCGGCCCUGUAAGUCCGUUGUGAAAGUCAAAGGCUCAACCUUUGAAAGCCGAUGGAUACUGCAGGGCUAGAGUCCGGAAGAGGAGAGUGGAAUUCCUGGUGUAGCGGUGAAAUGCGCAGAUAUCAGGAAGAACACCCGUGGCUAAGGCGGCUCUCUAGUACGGUACUGACGCUGAGACGCGAAAGCGUGGGGAGCGAACAGG